UCAGCCCCAGGCGGGUGAGGGAAGGGUGCGCGAGCCAAGGGCGCGAAGACAUCGCAACGGAGGCCCAAGGGCGAGGUCCAACGGCCCAACCCCUGCUGGCCUCGCGCGCCUCGCGCCUGCUCUCGCUUGGUGGCGGGCGUUUGGCACCGAGCGGGCCCCCGCCGUAGGUGGCGACCGACCAGGUCUGCAGGGGCUCGCCCAGCACCGGCCCCCGGGGGCAGGAGCGUCUGUCACCUCUGCCUAACGCACCAGUAAGACCAUUUGGAUCUGCAGUUUUCUUCCUGGAAAGCUUUGGAGACUCGAAACUCAAUAUCAAGUUGCGGGCAGGGUUGAUUUCCCGUGAGCUCUCUCCUUGGAUUGGGAGUGGCUGCCUUCUCGCCAUAUCCGCAUACGGAGGUCAUACGAGGUCAUAUUGCUGUCCGUGUCCCCAGGCUUCCGUCUGGAACCCUAAGCUCCUGGAUGUACUUGUGUGCGACCCCCCUCCCGCCCCCGGCUCAGCGCCUGCUGCUGGCAGAGGGAAAGACCGGGACCCCUCUGGCCGUCCCCAGGGAAGCCGCUGGACCUGCCUGCGGUGCUGACGCAGCUGCGGGAGCCCCGUUUCCCACACUCUGGCAGACAUGGUGCGUGUCGGACGGCUCGCUUUUGCCUUUUUGAUUGGUAAGCAAAAAACAAAAACAAAAACAAAAAACUCUCAAUAUAAAUGCUUAAUUGAUUUGAAUGAAUUGGAUUCUCCAUUAACCUUCGUUCGUGACAAACUCUCAUGACUGUGUUUUUGACUCAUUGAUUAUUUAUUUAUAAUUUAUCUACUCGUUGAUAAUUCAUAAUAAUUAAUAAUAAUUAUCCACGAACCCACCACCCAAUACAAAUAUCUGACCCUGACCUUUGUUUAGAAGCCUUUUAAUUUUGUUCUCUAUAAACUUUAUUUGAGAAACAUUUCCCCAGAUUCCUUUUUUUUUUUUUUUUAAGAUUUAUUUGAGGCCGGCGCCGCGGCUCAAUAGGCUAAUCCUCCGCCUAGCGGCGCCGGCACACCGGGUUCUAGUCCCGGUCGGGGCGCCGGAUUCUGUCCCGGUUGCCCCUCUUCCAGGCCAGCUCUCUGCUGUGGCCUGGGAGGGCAGUGGAGGAUGGCCCAAGUGCUUGGGUCCUGCACCCCAUGGGAGACCAGGAUAAGUACCUGGCUCCUGCCAUCGGAUCAGUGCGGUGCAGCGGCCAUUGGAGUGUGAACCAACGGCAAAGGAAGACCUUUCUCACUGUCUCUCUCUCACUGUCCACUCUGCCUGUCAAAAAAAAAAAAAAAAGAGAGAGAGAGAGAGAGAUUUAUUUAUUUGAAAGGCAGAGUUACAGAUAGAGAGUGAGAUCUUCCUUCUGCUGGUUCACUCCCCAAAUGACAUAAAUGGCUGGAGCUGGACCAGGCCAAAGCCAGGAGCCAGGAGCUUCUUUCCAGGUCUCCCAUGCAGCUGCAGGAGGCCAUCCCUCACUGCUUUCUCAGGUGCAUUAGCAGGAAGCUGGAUCAGAAGUGGAGUAGCAGGGAUUUGAACCAGUACCUAUAUUGGAUGCAGCUGGCAGCUUUACCUGCUAUGACACAGCGUGGGCCCCUCAUUUUUCUUGUUGUUGUUGUUUUUUUUUUUUUAUUUAAAUUUACUUAUUUGGAAGGCAGGAUUACAGAGAAAGAGAGAAAAAGAGAAAGAAGUAGCCCUUCUUUAUUUGUGUUACCCAGCUUUUGAGAGGAUAUCCAACUAAUGAUUGACAAGGCCAAAGUCAAGGAGAUUCCCCCCCUGAGUUUUCUUCUAGCAGUUUUGUAGUUUCAGGCCACAUAUUUAGGUCUUUAAUCCAUUUUUGAGCCAAUUUUGGGGUGUAGAUAACAUACAGGUCUAAAUCAACCCUUUUGCACAUAGAUAUCCAGUUUGGCAAAGCCAUUUAUUGAAGAGACGCUCUUUUCCCUGUUGUACCAUCUUGAUUGGGCUUUUCAAAAAUUUACUGCCGGUAUAUACUUGGUUUAUUUCUGGGGUCCCUGUUCUGUUCUGUUGGUCUGUAUGAGUCCAUUUUCAUGCCAGAACCAAUACUUUUGACUGCCACAGCUUUGUAACAUAACUUGAAAUUAGGAAGUGUGGUGUCUCCAGGCUUGUUUUUUCUUUCUCAUGGUUGUUUAGCUAUUAGAGGUCUUUUGUGGUUCUGUAUGAAUUUCAGAAUCUUUCUCUAUUUCUGUGAAAAAUACCAUUGCAAUUUGAUAGUGAUUUCAUUGAAUGUGUAUAUCACUGUGGGUAGUAUGAACAUUUUAGCAAUAUUAAUUCUUCCAGACUACAAACAUGGAAUAUAUUUUCGUUUAUUUUUAUCUUC